CAGUCCUCACAUAUGCUCAGAUAGAGGCCAGGCAGAAACUGCUGAGCUGAGCUGCUGCAACCAUAUUAAAGCAGUGUUGGCCACACAGUCACAAUCCGUCACCUGGGGAUGUUACAAACCAUCACUUGGUCACAUUGCAAAGCAUCACCUUCACGCAACCUUGACUAGGGGACUUCAGCACUUGUCUCACCCAGAUGUCACAAUCCAUUGCUGAGUCAUCACAGUGAGCCAUUCUUACCUGCAGCACGUGCAUCAGCAGCACUCCAGACCCAGCACAAGUUCUCCAACACUACUGCCCACUCCAUUCCCUGCAUAUCAUGUGCUUGGCAUCAGUGUUUCACACCAACCACCAAGGCCUUGGCCAUGUCUUCCCAUGGGCCCCAUUAGGUCACUCUGGCCAUGGCACUCAGAUCCAGGAAGCAACAAAAAGGAAAACAGCCCUUCUCAGCUUAAGAAUAUGCUCUGAAAAACAACCCAGGAUGGAGAAGCUUAUGGCAAUUCAAGAAUAUGUUCUACUUCCCUUCUUCUUCACCUUGUAAACAUGACUGCUUCAGUCUAAACAGGAAUCUCCUAUCUGAUGCAGUCCCUGUGCCCUCUUCCAUGUUGUACACACCUUGUCAUCUUUGUACGCAUCAAGAGGAUGGAGAUGGAUUCCAGUUCCUAUUAGCAGUUUGAUGGGGUAGCAAAAUGGCGCCGAUGCUGGCAUGCAUACCUCUAUGGAGCUCCAGGAAGACCUGUGUUUUAUAUCCUGCCUCAAAACCAAACAGGGAAAACUGCUUUUUAAUUCACCAGUUUUAUCUCUCUGAGCUUAGUGAAUUCUGUGCUCAUAAAAAGUGAGAGACAGCUAUUGCAGGCUAAAGGCUAGCACAGCGCAAGUUUCAUGCAUACAUACCACUCUGCUAAAUACACCUUAGUGCUGACCCUGUGGCAUGUCCUACUCUAAUAAUUCAUCCUCCCCUGGUCCCCAUCACUCCCUUCACCGGUUCAUUCUUGGCAUUUCUGUUGUGCCUUGCACUUCCCUUUUAAUAUUGCAGGCUUGGAUGCCUCCUGAUUAGUGACUGAAACUUAUGCUGAGCUCUGCAGCAAGUUUUGUGAAGGGUCUAGGGUGAAACCUUCUGAAUUCAUUUUCACUCUUGAUAGAAACCAGACAGUGAACUUUAGUUUUCAGAUGAGGUAAUGAUUCGCCAACUGAUCCCUUGUGCUCCUUUCUGAUUUAGGAUCUUCCUCUGGGGAGAUGCUCGUACAUUUAGGAAUGAAGUCACUUUUAUAGCACACUGUCCUGAAUUGGAAAUCAUAAGCACAGGCCUCUCUGAGCCUGUUUUCUUUGUGCUAACUGGGAAUGUGUUCUCCAAAUGAGAAAAUUCUCUCUUCAGCAGAUGGUUCUUUUUUGCUUUUCUUUCCUUUUUAAAAACACAAUGAAACUCUAAAGACUGGAAAAGGUCAAAUAUUUUAGUGAGCUUUAUUCAAGGAGGAGGAAGAGAUCUAUCACAGGAGAGCAUACUGAGACCCCUGAAAUGUCAAAUAAGCAGAUUAUUUGGUUACCAGAAUUGGGGCAGCUGGUCCCAGGUGAGGACAGUGUCACAACUUCUUAGCAGUCUUUUUCAACACUUAGCUUUAAGAUUUCUCCGACUCAGAUAGAAAAAAAAAAAAAUCAACAAACUAUUUUUUUUCAUAUCGAAGAGAAUUUCAGACAGAGAAUAAAAUCCCAGCCCUCUUUAGAUCA
rnacentral:lncRNA from 1 species